rnacentral:rRNA from 1 species
UACGAAGGGGGCUAGCGUUGCUCGGAAUCACUGGGCGUAAAGGGUGCGUAGUCGGGUCUUUAAGUCAGGGGUGAAAUCCUGGAGCUCAACUCCGGAACUGCCUUUGAUACUGAGGAUCUUGAGUUCGGGAGAGGUGAGUGGAACUGCGAGUGUAGAGGUGAAAUUCGUAGAUAUUCGCAAGAACACCAGUGGCGAAGGCGGCUCACUGGCCCGGUACUGACGCUGAGGUGCGAAAGCGUGGGGAGCAAACAGG